rnacentral:rRNA from 1 species
AAUAUUGGACAAUGGGGGCAACCCUGAUCCAGCCAUGCCGCGUGUGUGAAGAAGGUCUUCGGAUUGUAAUGCACUUUAAGUUGGGAGGAAGGGGUUGAAGCUAAUACCUUCAAUCUUUGACGUUACCAACAGAAUAAGCACCAGCUAACUCUGUUCCUGAGGCCGCGUGAAUACAGAGGGUGCAAGCGUUAAUCGGAAUUACUGGGCGUAAAGCGCGCGUAGGUGGUUCGUUAAGUUGGAAGUGAAAGCCCCGGGCUUAACCUGGGAAUUGCUUUCAAAACUGACGAGCUAGAGUACGGUAGAGGGUAGUGGAAUUUCCUGUGUAGCGGUGAAAUGCGUAGAUAUAGGAAGGAACACCAGUGGCGAAGGCGACCACCUGGGCUAAUACUGACACUGAGGUGCGAAAGCGUGGGGAGCAAACAGG